GCAUUCGUGUUUCAGUGGUAGAAUUCUUGCCCUCCAUGUGGGAGACCAAGGUUCAAUUCCCUGUCAAUGCA
rnacentral:tRNA from 1 species